rnacentral:rRNA from 1 species
GAUGAACGCUGGCGGCGUGCCUAAUACAUGCAAGUCGAGCGAACAGACGAGGAGCUUGCUCCUCUGACGUUAGCGGCGGACGGGUGAGUAACACGUGGAUAACCUACCUAUAAGACUGGGAUAACUUCGGGAAACCGGAGCUAAUACCGGAUAAUAUAUUGAACCGCAUGGUUCAAUAGUGAAAGACGGUUUUGCUGUCACUUAUAGAUGGAUCCGCGCCGCAUUAGCUAGUUGGUAAGGUAACGGCUUACCAGGGCGACGAUGCGUAGCCGACCUGAGAGGGUGAUCGGCCACACUGGAACUGAGACACGGUCCAGACUCCUACGGGAGGCAGCAGUAGGGAAUCUUCCGCAAUGGGCGAAAGCCUGACGGAGCAACGCCGCGUGAGUGACGAAGGUCUUCGGAUCGUAAAACUCUGUUAUUAGGGAAGAACAAAUGUGUAAGUAACUAUGCACGUCUUGACGGUACCUAAUCAGAAAGCCACGGCUAACUACGUG